CUUUUUAAUUACCAGAUCCCAGAAGCUUAUUGAUAUUCUCUGCUGUGUAAAUAUCUCUUGAGUAGUGCAGUAUUGCUUGUAGGCUAAAAACCCAACAUUGGGAAGAACAGUGAGCAAG
rnacentral:pre_miRNA from 15 species